AUUGAACGCUGGCGGCAGGCUUAACACAUGCAAGUCGAGCGAGCGGCGGGCGGGUGAAUAAUGUGUGGGAAACUGCCUGAGGGGGGGAGAUCACUACUGGAAACGGUCUCUUAUAACGCAUUCCAUGAGAAGUGCCCCUAGGGGAUGAUAUAGUAGGUGGGGUAAUGGCUCACCUAGGCGACGAUCCAUAGCUGGUCUGAGAGGGUGACCGGCCACACUGGGACUGAGACACGGCCCAGACUCCUACGGGAGGCAGCAGUGGGGAAUAUUGCACAAUGGGCGCAAGCCUGAUGCAGCCAUGCCGCGUGUGUGAAGAAGGCCUUCGGGUUGUAAAGCACUUUCAGCGAGGAGGCGUUACCCAAAGAAGAAGCACCGGCUAACUCCGUGCCAGCAGCCGCGGUAAUUC
rnacentral:rRNA from 1 species